CUGAUGGGGCCGAACCAGGAUCGACGUGUGUUGAAAAGCGUAGUUUUCGUCCGGGCUGAGUAACCCGCAUAAGGCUCAAAACCAAUAAGUGCCAACGACAACGAAGCACUUGCUCUCGCCGCGUAAUGUGACGGCUUAACGGCCUGAAUUUACAAAGCUAAGAGCACGGUUCGGACCGAACCGGGUAACAGAAUCGGAAACC
rnacentral:tmRNA from 1 species